GAUGAACGCUAGCUACAGGCUUAACACAUGCAAGUCGAGGGGAAACGGCAUUGAGUGCUUGCACUCUUUGGACGUCGACCGGCGCACGGGUGAGUAACGCGUAUCCAACCUUCCCAUUACUGUGGGAUAACCUGCCGAAAGGCAGACUAAUACCGCAUAGUCUUCGAUGACGGCAUCAGAUUUGAAGUAAAGAUUUAUCGGUAAUGGAUGGGGAUGCGUCUGAUUAGCUUGUUGGCGGGGUAACGGCCCACCAAGGCAACGAUCAGUAGGGGUUCUGAGAGGAAGGUCCCCCACAUUGGAACUGAGACACGGUCCAAACUCCUACGGGAGGCAGCAGUGAGGAAUAUUGGUCAAUGGACGGAAGUCUGAACCAGCCAAGUAGCGUGCAGGAUGACGGCCCUAUGGGUUGUAAACUGCUUUUGUAUGGGGAUAAAGUUAGGGACGUGUCCCUAUUUGCAGGUACCAUACGAAUAAGGACCGGCUAAUUCCGUGCCAGCAGCCGCGGUAAUACGGAAGGUCCAGGCGUUAUCCGGAUUUAUUGGGUUUAAAGGGAGCGUAGGCUGGAGAUUAAGUGUGUUGUGAAAUGUAGACGCUCAACGUCUGAAUUGCAGCGCAUACUGGUUUCCUUGAGUACGCACAACGUUGGCGGAAUUCGUCGUGUAGCGGUGAAAUGCUUAGAUAUGACGAAGAACUCCGAUGGCGAAGGCAGCUGACGGGAGCGCAACUGACGCUUAAGCUCGAAGGUGCGGGUAUCAAACAGG
rnacentral:rRNA from 1 species